GACGAACGCUGGCGGCGUGCUUAACACAUGCAAGUCGAACGGAAAGGCCCUGCUUUUGUGGGGUGCUCGAGUGGCGAACGGGUGAGUAACACGUGAGUAACCUGCCCUUGACUUUGGGAUAACUUCAGGAAACUGGGGCUAAUACCGGAUAGGAGCUCCUGCUGCAUGGUGGGGGUUGGAAAGUUUCGGCGGUUGGGGAUGGACUCGCGGCUUAUCAGCUUGUUGGUGGGGUAGUGGCUUACCAAGGCUUUGACGGGUAGCCGGCCUGAGAGGGUGACCGGGCACAUUGGGACUGAGAUACGGCCCAGACUCCGACGGGAGGCAGCAGUGGGGAAUAUUGCACAAUGGGCGGAAGCCUGAUGCAGCAACGCCGCGUGCGGGAUGACGGCCUUCGGGUUGUAAACCGCUUUCGCCUGUGACGAAGCGUGAGUGACGGUAAUGGGUAAAGAAGCACCGGCUAAUUACGUG
rnacentral:rRNA from 1 species